rnacentral:rRNA from 1 species
UAGGGAAUCUUCGGCAAUGGACGGAAGUCUGACCGAGCAACGCCGCGUGAGUGAAGAAGGUUUUCGGAUCGUAAAACUCUGUUGCCAGGGAAGAAAGGCUGAGAGAGUAACUGCUCUUAGCGUGACGGUACCUGAGAAGAAAGCCCCGGCUAACUACGUGCCAGCAGCCGCGGUAAUACGUAGGGGGCAAGCGUUGUCCGGAAUUAUUGGGCGUAAAGCGCGCGCAGGCGGUUAGGUAAGUCUGGUGUAUAAACCCAAGGCCCAACCUUGGGACGCAUUGGAAACUGGCUGACUGGAGUGUAGGAGAGGAAAGUGGAAUUCCACGUGUAGCGGUGAAAUGCGUAGAGAUGUGGAGGAACACCAGUGGCGAAGGCGACUUUCUGGCCUAUAACUGACGCUGAGGCGCGAAAGCGUGGGGAGCAAACA